UACGGAGGGUGCAAGCGUUAAUCAGAAUUACUGGGCGUAAAGCGCACGCAGGUGGCUGAGUCAGUCGAUUGUGAAAGCCCUGGGCUUAACCUGGGAAUUGCAGUCGAUACUACUCAGCUAGAGUAUGGGAGAGGGUAGUGGAAUUCCCGGUGUAGCGGUGAAAUGCGUAGAUAUCGGGAGGAACAUCAGUGGCGAAGGCGGCUACCUGGCCCAAUACUGACACUCAGGUGCGACAGCGUGGGGAGCAAACAGG
rnacentral:rRNA from 1 species